CUAGCUACAGGCUUAACACAUGCAAGUCGAGGGGCAGCAUGGUCUUAGCUUGCUAAGGCCGAUGGCGACCGGCGCACGGGUGAGUAACACGUAUCCAACCUGCCGUCUACUCUUGGACAGCCUUCUGAAAGGAAGAUUAAUACAAGAUGGCAUCAUGAGUCCGCAUGUUCACAUGAUUAAAGGUAUUCCGGUAGACGAUGGGGAUGCGUUCCAUUAGAUAGUAGGCGGGGUAACGGCCCACCUAGUCUUCGAUGGAUAGGGGUUCUGAGAGGAAGGUCCCCCACAUUGGAACUGAGACACGGUCCAAACUCCUACGGGAGGCAGCAGUGAGGAAUAUUGGUCAAUGGGCGAGAGCCUGAACCAGCCAAGUAGCGUGAAGGAUGACUGCCCUAUGGGUUGUAAACUUCUUUUAUAAAGGAAUAAAGUCGGGUAUGGAUACCCGUUUGCAUGUACUUUAUGAAUAAGGAUCGGCUAACUCCGUGCCAGCAGCCGCGGUAAUACAGAGGAUCCGAGCGUUAUCCGGAUUUAUUGGGUUUAAAGGGAGCGUAGAUGGAUGUUUAAGUCAGUUGUGAGAGUUUGCGGCUCAACCGUAAAAUUGCAGUUGAUACUGGAUAUCUUGAGUGCAGUUGAGGCAGGCGGAAUUCGUGGUGUAGCGGUGAAAUGCUUAGAUAUCACGAAGAACUCCGAUUGCGAAGGCAGCCUGCUAAGCUGCAACUGACAUUGAGGCUCGAAAGUGUGGGUAUCAAACAGGAUUAGAUACCCUGGUAGUCCACACGGUAAACGAUGAAUACUCGCUGUUUGCGAUAUACAGCAAGCGGCCAAGCGAAAGCGUUAAGUAUUCCACCUGGGGAGUACGCCGGCAACGGUGAAACUCAAAGGAAUUGACGGGGGCCCGCACAAGCGGAGGAACAUGUGGUUUAAUUCGAUGAUACGCGAGGAACCUUACCCGGGCUUAAAUUGCAGAUGAAUUACGGUGAAAGCCGUAAGCCGCAAGGCAUCUGUGAAGGUGCUGCAUGGUUGUCGUCAGCUCGUGCCGUGAGGUGUCGGCUUAAGUGCCAUAACGAGCGCAACCCUUGUUGUCAGUUACUAACAGGUUCCGCUGAGGACUCUGACAAGACUGCCAUCGUAAGAUGUGAGGAAGGUGGGGAUGACGUCAAAUCAGCACGGCCCUUACGUCCGGGGCUACACACGUGUUACAAUGGGGGGUACAGAGGGCCGCUACCACGCGAGUGGAUGCCAAUCCCCAAAACCUCUCUCAGUUCGGACUGGAGUCUGCAACCCGACUCCACGAAGCUGGAUUCGCUAGUAAUCGCGCAUCAGCCACGGCGCGGUGAAUACGUUCCCGGGCCUUGUACACACCGCCCGUCAAGCCAUGGGAGCCGGGGGUACCUGAAGUGCGUAACCGCGAGGAGCGCCCUAGGGUAAAACUGGUGACUGGGGCUAAGUC
rnacentral:rRNA from 1 species